AAGAAGAAGAAGAACUUAUGUUCAACUUUCCAUUUUCGCACCUAUGGGACAGCCUUCACCAAAAAGGCACUAUAUUGAUGGAUAUAAUCUGGUUUGAAGUUGAGUCAUCCAUGCUGAAAGUAUGAAUAUAAGGAUUUCGGGAUUGAUGAUGAUGGGAGCAAAACUUUGAUUAAGAAAGGAUUGUGGGAGCAGCAUUGUUAUUAUCUUCACCUCUACAACUCAGAAUCUUCAAGCUUGAGGAACAGGUUAGAAGUAGAUGGAUUGCUUGAUGGACUGCCUUGAAGACCGUGGACAAGUAAUUGGCAGGAAGACCUAGUCAGACGUUAUUUUUCCGCUGUGCAUUGUUGAAGGCAAGCCAAUCAUAUACGUUUUUAGUUGGAUAUUUGAAUUGUAUAUGAUUUUAAUUUCUUUUCAUUAUCGCUUAUGUAUGUUUCUUGUACCAUUUAUAGCAUCACCGCAUAUUAUUCUAGACA